CAGUCGCCCGGUAAUACGUAGGGUCCGAGCGUUGUCCGGAAUUAUUGGGCGUAAAGAGCUCGUAGGCGGUCUGUCGCGUCUGCCGUGAAAUCCUCAGGCUCAACCUGAGGCGUGCGGUGGGUACGGGCAGGCUAGAGUGCGGUAGGGGAGAAUGGAACUCCUGGUGUAGCGGUGGAAUGCGCAGAUAUCAGGAAGAACACCGAUGGCGAAGGCAGUUCUCUGGGCCGUAACUGACGCUGAGGAGCGAAAGCGUGGGGAGCGAACAGGAUUAGAUACCCCCGUAGUCCCUGUCUCUUAUACC
rnacentral:rRNA from 1 species